rnacentral:lncRNA from 1 species
GUCUGGUUCAUUGAACAACUGGAGGCGGGGUUGACAAUUUUAGCUGGUCGUGGAGGUUGACGAUAGCCGGAGAAGGUAGUGAUCGUUUGGCUAUGGAGCUGGCGACUGGUUCAAGGGUGGCUGGAGAAGACGACGAAGCACCAACGAUGAAGGGUGAAAUGAAACCUUAAGAUGUGGCCUGCUAUUACUGAAAGACUGAUGAUUAUGUUAAUUUAGAGGCUUUAGUUAUCGAACUGAAAGACAUGAGCCUCUUUCCAUUGUAAAUCACAAUCAGUUGCUUACUGAAAGACUGAUGAUUAUGUAAAAUAUAUGAAAAGAUCUUGUUCCACAAAUCAAGCCCCUAAUUGUUCCACAAAUCAAGCCACUAAUUAAUAGUUGAUCUUAAACCUUAAAGAUAAAUUUGGUAUAUAAAUUGAAAGGUGAUAUACUUAAAUGUAAUAAACACUAACCUU